rnacentral:rRNA from 1 species
AGGUUGCUUCGGUAACUGACCUAGCGGCGGACGGGUGAGUAAUGCUUAGGAAUCUGCCUAUUAGUGGGGGACAACAUUCCGAAAGGAAUGCUAAUACCGCAUACGUCCUACGGGGGAAAGCAGGGGAUCUUCGGACCUUGCGCUAAUAGAUGAGCCUAAGUCGGAUUAGCUAGUUGGUGGGGUAAAGGCCCACCAAGGCGACGAUCUGUAGCGGGUCUGAGAGGAUGAUCCGCCACACUGGGACUGAGACACGGCCCAGACUCCUACGGGAGGCAGCAGUGGGGAAUAUUGGACAAUGGGCGGAAGCCUGAUCCAGCCAUGCCGCGUGUGUGAAGAAGGCCUUUUGGUUGUAAAGCACUUUAAGCGAGGAGGAGGCUCCUUUAGUUAAUACCUAAAGUGAGUGGACGUUACUCGCAGAAUAAGCACCGGCUAACUCUGUGCCAGCAGCCGCGGUAAUACAGAGGGUGCGAGCGUUAAUCGGAUUUACUGGGCGUAAAGCGUGCGUAGGCGGCUUUUUAAGUCGGAUGUGAAAUCCCUGAGCUUAACUUAGGAAUUGCAUUCGAUACUGGAAAGCUAGAGUAUGGGAGAGGAUGGUAGAAUUCCAGGUGUAGCGGUGAAAUGCGUAGAGAUCUGGAGGAAUACCGAUGGCGAAGGCAGCCAUCUGGCCUAAUACUGACGCUGAGGUACGAAAGCAUGGGGAGCAAACAGGAUUAGAUACCCUGGUAGUCCAUGCCGUAAACGAUGUCUACUAGCCGUUGGGGCCUUUGAGGCUUUAGUGGCGCAGCU